CAGGUGCUGCAUGGUUGUCGUCAGCUCGUGUCGUGAGAUGUUGGGUUAAGUCCCCGCAACGAGCGCAACCCUCGACCUUAGUUGCCAGCAUUCAGUUGGGCACUCUAAGGUGACUGCCGGCUAAAAGUCGGAGGAAGUGGGAUGACGUCAAAUCAUCAUGCCCCUUAUGACCUGGGCUACACACGUGCUACAAUGGUUGGUACAACGAGUUGCGAGUCGGUGACGGCGAGCUAAUCUCUUAAAGCCAAUCUCAGUUCGGAUUGUAGGCUGCAACUCGCCUACAUGAAGUCGGAAUCGCUAGUAAUCGCGGAUCCAGCCACGCCGCGGUGAAUACGUUCCCGGGCCUU
rnacentral:rRNA from 1 species